rfam:Stegodyphus mimosarum contig40520, whole genome shotgun sequence.
GCCUUUGUGGUGUAGUGGUCAGCACGCUUGACACGUAUUCGAGAGGUCCGUGGUUCGAGUCCCGACGAGGACA